AUUGAACGCUGGCGGCAGGCUUAACACAUGCAAGUCGAGCGGAGAUGAGGUGCUUGCACCUUAUCUUAGCGGCGGACGGGUGAGUAAUGCUUAGGAAUCUGCCUAUUAGUGGGGGACAACAUUCCGAAAGGAAUGCUAAUACCGCAUACGUCCUACGGGAGAAAGCAGGGGAUCUUCGGACCUUGCGCUAAUAGAUGAGCCUAAGUCGGAUUAGCGAGUUGGUGGGGUAAAGGCCUACCAAGGCGACGAUCUGUAGCGGGUCUGAGAGGAGGAUCCGCCACACUGGGACUGAGACACGGCCCAGACUCCUACGGGAGGCAGCAGUGGGGAAUAUUGGACAAUGGGGGGAACCCUGAUCCAGCCAUGCCGCGUGUGUGAAGAAGGCCUUAUGGUUGUAAAGCACUUUAAGCGAGGAGGAGGCUACUGAGACUAAUACUCUUGGAUAGUGGACGUUACUCGCAGAAUAAGCACCGGCUAACUCUGUGCCAGCAGCCGCGGUAAAAC
rnacentral:rRNA from 1 species